CGGUGACAGGCCGCGGCCCCGCCACGGUGACGGGCCCCAGGCCCGCCGCGGUGACAGGGCGGGCCCUGCAGCCGGGCCAGCCCCGCGGCUCAGACGGAGCCCGGGGUGGCGGGGACGGGAGGGUGGCCCGGAGAGGGGUUUGGCCGCUGCGGAGGGAGGGCGGGACCGUCCCGCUAGCCGACAGGGCCUCCCCGGGGCCGGGGGUCGCGGUGCUCCCGGCGCUGUCGGGAGCGAUCCCUGGCUUCGGGGCUCCCUGCUGCAGGAGGACGCGGUCCCCGCUGAAGGAAAACUGGUUUGCUGUUGCCCCCACCUGGAGGAUAACCGGAGGGAGUCGCGGUGGUCGGGAGCGGGACGGGGUCGCGGCGUUCCAGGCCGUUUCCCUGGGAUGAAAUUAACAAAAUGAGAGAAGCCCACAUUAAAACACGGACUUUCAGCAUCACUGCAAAAGUGGAAUGCGGUAGCAUAAUUUCUGUAUUAAACAUUUACCUUCGGCUGAGGUAGCUAUAAUAAGACGGUGAUUUUCCCUCUUGGUACGCUCCGGUCCCUUGUGGUUCAGAGGAGCCCCCCCAGCAGCCACUGCUGUGACUCCCACCUCCUGUAGACAUGCUGAAGGUGGCUCCCAGGGCUGAUGAGGCUCAGCAGGAGCUCACCGUGGAGCUCUCUCCCUGCUGUGCUCCUGCGGGCUUCCCGGCUGCAGGGAGCUGCUGGGAGAGCACGGAUGUGCUGCCGGCGCUGUCGGAGCGAGCGCGCACCACCUUGGUAUUUGCCAUUUUGACUAAACCAAUGGUUUCAACUGGGAUCCAUGGACUACUCCUAAAGGAUCUGCAAAAGGAGAGGACCAGCCCGUCCUCGCCGCCGUGGCCCGUCGGAUGGAGUGUGUCCCCCCCAGCCCGGGCUUUGGGGCCGGCGGCGGGGCUGGGGGACACCCCCCCACACACACACACCCCCCUCCAGCCCCCUCGGCCCCGGUCCCGCCGGUGCAUCCCUGCCCC
rnacentral:lncRNA from 1 species